UAACAAGGUCUCCGUAGGUGAACCUGCGGAGGGAUCAUUACUGAGUGAGGGCCUUCGGGCUCGACCUCCAACCCUUUGUGAACACAACUUGUUGCUUCGGGGGCGACCCUGCCGUUUCGACGGCGAGCGCCCCCGGAGGCCUUCAAACACUGCAUCUUUGCGUCGGAGUUUAAGUAAAUUAAACAAAACUUUCAACAACGGAUCUCUUGGUUCUGGCAUCGAUGAAGAACGCAGCGAAAUGCGAUAAGUAAUGUGAAUUGCAGAAUUCAGUGAAUCAUCGAAUCUUUGAACGCACAUUGCGCCCCUUGGUAUUCCGAGGGGCAUGCCUGUUCGAGCGUCAUUUCACCACUCAAGCCUCGCUUGGUAUUGGGCGCCGCGGUGUUCCGCGCGCCUCAAAGUCUCCGGCUGAGCUGUCCGUCUCUAAGCGUUGUGAUUUCAUUAAUCGCUUCGGAGCGCGGGCGGUCGCGGCCGUUAAAUCUUUCACAAGGUUGACCUCGGAUCAGGUAGGGA
rnacentral:rRNA from 1 species